AUGAGAAGAUCACCAGGAGCCUCCCCAUCCUCGUCUCCUUCGUCUACGACCGUUGAAUCAAGUCGGGCCACGCCGUACACUCGGCGUGGAGCACAACUUCCUUGCGUACGUCGCUGGCAUCCGGCAUCGUUUGCUGCGGCUCCGGUCCAACCCCGACCUCCCAAGCUCGUCGUCGAGCAUCUCAGUGAGCCACUCUUCCGAAACACCACUCCCUGUUAUUGA
rnacentral:rRNA from 1 species